UAUUAGAGAAUAUUCUUUUGGGAGAUUACUUUUCAAGAUAGUUUUAGGAGAUUUUUGAGAUAAAUUAAUUUUUGUCAUUUGGCAACUGUGAACCAAUAUGUGUGUGUUUAUGUAAAAUUUUUACGAUUUUUAAUUUGACGGAAUUUUUACCUCGUUUUUUUAUGGAAACUUGAAAAACCGCACCAAAGCUGACUGAAGUUAAUACCUGAAGGACAUUUAUUUCACAAUGGUAAAAAAGUCCUCAAAGAAGAGGAAAUCUUAUGAAAGUGGAAGUGAGUAUGACCUGUGUCAUGAAGAAAAACAUGACAAACAUAAACACAGGAGUGAUAAAUUAAAUAAAAAGCACAACAAUUAUGAAGAUACUGGAGAGGAUUAUGAAAUACGAAAGG